GGUUUCAUGGCGUAGUUGGUUAUCGCAUCCGUCUAACAGAAGUAAUUCACGGAAGGUCUCCGGUUCGAUCCCGGAUGAAACCA